ACUCUUUUUAUAAAAUAAAAUGAGUCAAUUGUCACGAUAUUAAUAGACAACAACUCACUAGGUUACCUCCCUCCACUUAUCAAGACGUAAUGUAAAAUUUCUUAACAGAAUACCAUGAGAUUCCAAAAAUUACGUCAGUGACGAAGGGAGCGCUGUUACUGCGUAAUGGACUCACGGAAUAACUAUUAUUUUAUAAAAAGAGUUAAUUGUCAAAAUUUUCAUCAUACAUAAGCAAAAUAUUUUUAAUAAAACAAAAUUACGUAUUUUGUUUAUAACUUCCAAUUAAGAGUUUAUAUUUCGUAUUUACCCGACAACUGACCAGCCGUGGUGUAUAUGAGCGACAGAAACUUAAAAAUAUUAAUUAUGUUUCAGCACGAAACAAGGGAUACCUAACAUCUGGAUAUAUUGUAAAAAAUUUAAGAAUAUUAUCUUAACAAAAAGAUAAAAGAUGAUGUCACGCUAAAAGUGAUUCUCUCAGCAAAUGGGCUACGGAUUCAAAGUAAACAGGAUGGAUAGGUGUUUUAAAUUUUCAAAAUGUUACUAAAGGUAACCAAGCCAUCAGUGGUAGUUGUCAAGAAUGAGGAA